CCUGGUGCAAUGGCAGCAGUUCAAACUCUGACUCUGUGAAAGCACUGAAGGAAAACAUUUUUUAACUUUGGAGGUCAUUGGAAGGCAGUAGAAGAGGGAUAUGGAAGCUGUUCAGUUGGACGUAUCCAGGACAAGAGUUACCUGCCCAGGUCCCCAGGAUAAGUCAGAACGCUGCUGGGCUACGCUGCCUCUGAGGACCAGGAGAUGAGGAGGCCUGUGACCAACACCUGAAUACCGCGGGUAGCAUGGUGGUGAGCGCUUGGGUUUUUAACAACGCCUGCUUAAGUGAUGGGCAAAACAAGAUAUGUGGUUCAGCAGCAGUCAGGAAGUGAGUGCCAAACUGGCUUAACAGGAGCAAGAAGUAAAGAGGCCACACAACACUUGAAGCUGCUCUGUACAGUGGAACACAUGCUGUUCUCUCCUUGUAGCUGGUACUACUAAUAGUACUUACGGUAUCAUAAGUAUUCUCCAGUUGUGGGUCUACACGUGCUUUUUAGAUGCUGGGUUGUCACAUCUAAAUAAAAAAAUUUUGCAUUCAUUGUAGGAUGUGGUGAUAUUGCCAUCUUUCCUCUAGCUCACACUUUUGUUUUCUCUCUCCUCUUUUUUUGAGUGCACAUGUAGAGAGCUUUCAGAGCCAGGUCAGGCUAAACUGCUAGACUUGCAGACUAGGCAGGAUCAGCUCUGCAAGGUUUCCAUGAAGAAAACACCAGAUUUUAGCUAUCCUUUCUAAAGAGCAUGCUGAGGUGUAGCUAAAGGCUGAUAAUAACAUUCAUUUCUUGACAACACAGACCAUCUUCUAGUUUAUCAUGAUCUGUUCUUUGGCAUGCUGCACAAGCCUUUUGUUUCUAUUUAGUUGGAAACUUCUGUCAUUGCUCUUCUGAAGAAACAAGUGCCUCUGAAAAAUAAUUGCUUUGACCUGGGAAUGACCCAUUUCCUGAGGGUAAAUGACAAAGAAGAGAUGGAAUAGCACUGGGUGAAGAUCAAACUGAAAUUUUUACAUCUUCCAUCCUGGGCCUGAAAUGAAUGCCUGGUAUUUUGACUGUCAGUGCUUGGUUCUCAUCAACGAAGUGGCACGAGUUCAGGUAUGUCCUGUUGCUGACAAUUAAUCACUCUUCUGACCCAUUACAAAUAGAUUUAACUUUGUAAUCAGUGUGAUCUUCCAUCCUACUUUCUUGACUGUGAUGUUGUUGUUUGCCUGUGAAAAUAGCAUGUCUCUUGCCGUGAUCUCUGGUAGGACUCAUUGCUACACUCUGCAGGGUAGUUACUAACAGGGCAGACACUGUAUUUCCUGAAUUUUCCUUUAAGACUGCUUAAAGAUUUAGCUACUUGUGUAAUCUGUAUUCAGUGAUACAACACAGAACUUCCUUAUCCUGUUUGCCAGAUACAGUGUAUAAAGCUUGUAAAUAAAGAUGCAUUUAAUUUGCAUAAAUUA